AUACGUAGGGGGCGAGCGUUGUCCGGAAUGAUUGGGCGUAAAGGGCGCGUAGGCGGCCCGGUAAGUCUGGAGUGAAAGUCCUGUUUUUAAGAUGGGAAUUGCUUUGGAUACUGUCGGGCUUGAGUGCAGGAGAGGUAAGUGGAAUUCCCAGUGUAGCGGUGAAAUGCGUAGAGAUUGGGAGGAACACCAGUGGCGAAGGCGACUUACUGGACUGUAACUGACGCUGAGGCGCGAAAGUGUGGGGAGCAAACAGGAUUAGAUACCCUGGUAGUCCACACUGUAAACGAUGAAUGCUAGGUGUAGGGGGUAUCGACCCCUUCUGUGCCGCAGUCAACACAAUAAGCAUUCCGCCUGGGGGGUACGGCCGCAAGGUUGAAACUCAAAGGAAUUGACGGGG
rnacentral:rRNA from 1 species